rnacentral:lncRNA from 1 species
AGAUGCAGCUUGAGAGUAAUAUAGAGGCUCAGAUUCCAAAGAGGAGGAAGAUGAACCAGAAAAGGCAGGUAGUUGACAAACAUAAUCCUUAUGAUAAGUGGGAGGAUUAUGCUGUCUUUGAGAUUUUCUGGGAGUAGGAACAGAAGGAGAAGAAGCUAGGACAGGAGGUGAGAUAUCAGGAUUGAAAGAAGGGGUGAAGGUAGAUUCAGAAGAGUCAGGGUCAGUAUAAGGAGGUACUUGCACAGAUGUAGGAGAAGGAGGUGAGGAGAGGAGGAUGGGAGAAUCAGAAUCAUCAUCAUGUUCUCCAGAAGGAACAAAAGGAAAGGAUAAAGCAGAAGGAUAAGCAGAAGAAAGCACAGAUGUAGGAGAAGGAGGAGAGGAGAGGAGGAUGGGAGAAUCAGAAUCAGAAUCAUGUUCUCCAGAAUGAACAAAAGGAAAGGAUAAAGCAGAAGAAGAUACAGUUUUAAAAAGAAAACAUGAUUCAUGAAAUAUGACAUCCCUGGAAACCAAAUAUUUCUUUGAAGCAAGAUCAUNN